UCUAUACCUACUUAGGACUCUUUUUCUACCCAAAUCUAUCACAAAAUCCAAAUUCCACUACAUUCUUACUACCUCCCUUUUCUCUUCAAGAAAGACUGCUACUUUCAUCAAACCUGUGUUCUCAAACAAAAAUUGAAGUUAGAAAGAAAUAAGAAUAAAAAAGAAAAUAUACCGAUAAAUAGUACCUCAUGUUCCAAGAGAAGUAAAAACUUCUAAAUUUAGCAAGCUUGCUAAGAAUUAAUACAACCUGCAAAAUAUUAUAAAAAUUUUGUUCAAACUUAUAGCGCAUUAGUACAAUAUCAAUCAAACAACAUUUUCUAAUUUAAAUAAUACCUUUACUACUGAAAUUUCUUCAUGCUUGUAAAUAUCAAUAUUGAUCCAAUUUCAAGAAGCUGAAUCUCCCAUCUUUUAUCCUCGUCCAGCUUAAAUGGCUUGUGAGUUGUACAUUACAAAAAUUCACUCAACCUUUCCAAACCAAACCAAACUCUAUGCCUUACAUUUAUAGUAAGUUCUACAUUACAAAAUUUUCACUUGGCACAACCCAUAUAGAGACACAUACAAAGACAUAUCUAUACAUAUUCAAAAGGGUGCUCCAAGUGUAAAAUUAUCUCUCAACAAAAGUACAAAAUAAACUAGAAUAUUAAAUACAAAAUAUAACAAAUACACUAAAUAGAUACACGAAAAAACUCAUUCAAAAUGCAUAUCACAAUAAGUAGGACAUCAACCACCAACGAAACAUAAUAAUAAAAACAUCCAAACAUAUAUAACAAAAGAAAAAAACAACACAAAAAAAUUACAAUGACAUUCAACGAAACAUCACAUUCACAAACAAAAUCAACAUUCAUCAAAAAAAUUAUAAUAGUCCAACAAAACAUUACAUUCGAAACAAAUAUUACAAUAUUCCGACAAAACAUCACACAAUAACAAAAAAAUAACACAUAUAUAACACAUUCAUCAAGCAAGACCAAUAGAAAAAAUUACAAUAUUCCAAUUAAAGUUUAAUAACUAUCGGUGAACAUAUAUAACACAUUUUAUAUAAUAUAUAUAUAAUAUAAUGUGUAUCUAUACAUACAUAUGUAUAUUACGUAUAUAAUAUAAUAUAUAUUAUAAUACUUAUUAUACAGAUAUACAUGUGUAUAAUACACAUGUAUAUUAUGUAUAUUACAUAAUAAUAUAAUAUAAUUAUAUCACUUUCCUAAAUAUUUAGAACCUAUAAAACGAGCCAUCUUCUACGCAUAUACCUACUUACGGCUCUUUUUCUACCCAAAUCUAUCACAAAAUCCAAAUCUCACUACAUUCUUACUACCUCCAUUUUCUCUUCAAGAAAGACUGCUACUUUCGUCAAACAUUUGUUCUCAAACAAAAUUUGAAGUUAGAAAGAAAUAAGAAUAAAAAAGAAAAUAUACCGAUAAAUAGUACCUCAUGUUCUAAGAGAAGUAAAAACUUCUAAAUUUAGCAAGCUUGCUAAAAAUCAAUACAACCUGCAAAAAAUUAUAAAAAAUUUUGUCCAAACUUAUAGCGUAUUAGUACAAUAUCAUUCAAAUAACAUUUUCUAAUUUAAAUAAUACAUUUGCUACUAAAAUUUCUUCAUGCUUGUAAAUAUUGAUCCAAUUUCAAGAAGCUGAAUCUCCCAUCUUUUAUCCUCGUCUUUAGCUUACAUGGCUUGUGAGUUGUACAUUACAAAAAUUCACUCAACCUUUCCAAACCACACUUUAUGCCUUACAUUUAUAGUAAGUUAUACAUUACAAAAUUUUCACUUAGCACAACCCAUAUAGAGACACAUACAAAGAAAUAUCUAUACAUAUUCAAAAG
rnacentral:lncRNA from 1 species